rnacentral:misc_RNA from 1 species
AAGUCGUAACAAGGUUUCCGUAGGUGAACCUGCGGAAGGAUCAUUAGCGUAAUUCUGGUUGAAAAACCGAGGAUUUCCACACUUGUGUUUUAAGCAAAAGGUUUUCAAAGUGUUCUCUUGUUUUUCUUUACUGGAAAAGGGAGACACGAGGAAUUUUUUGCGAACUCAAAAACUGUCUCUUUUUUUCUUUUCUGUUUGAUUACAGAGGAAGAAGGACGGUAUAAACUUUUUUAUUAUCAAUAAUAAAUAAAAACUUUCAACAACGGAUCUCUUGGUUCUG